GAUUUUACUUGAUUUUGCCAGCCAUAUUAAGAGCCAACAUUUUUGUUUUUCUGAUAUAACAAAGAAAGCCGACCAGCAUUUGUAUGUUUAAAAUGCAUUUAAGCCAUCACCAGGGUCCUACAACUGGAGACCAAUCAGAAUGCUAAGCUUCUUAGAGAUGAGGAACUGUUGCCCCGGGAUGUACUGCCCCAGGAGAAUGUUGAUUCUCUGAAGUCCGAGUACAUUGGCUACUAUACUUGCAGAAUUGGUGAUAUCAUACAACCAAAAGAUGCCCCACCAUGACACAGGGCCACAUGUUCCACUAUGUUCAGAGCGGCCUUAUUUAUGAUAGCCAGAAGCUGGAAACAACCCAGAUGUCCUACAAUGGAGGAAUGGAUACAGAAAAUGUGGUUCAUUUGCACAAUGGAGUACUACUCAGCUAUUAUGAAUGAGGACAUUAUGAUUUUGCAGGCAAAUGGAUGGAACUAGAAAAUAUCAUCCAGAGUGACAUAACUCAGACCCAAAAGGACAUGC
rnacentral:lncRNA from 1 species